AUACGUAGGUGGCAAGCGUUGUCCGGAAUUAUUGGGCGUAAAGCGCGCGCAGGCGGUCCUUUAAGUCUGAUGUGAAAGCCCACGGCUCAACCGUGGAGGGUCAUUGGAAACUGGGGGACUUGAGUGCAGAAGAGGAAAGUGGAAUUCCAAGUGUAGCGGUGAAAUGCGUAGAGAUUUGGAGGAACACCAGUGGCGAAGGCGACUUUCUGGUCUGUAACGGACGCUGAGGCGCGAAAGCGUGGGGAGCAAACAGGAUUAGAUACCCUGGUAGUCCACGCCGUAAACGAUGAGUGCUAAGUGUUAGGGGGUUUCCGCCCCUUAGUGCUGCAGCUAACGCAUUAAGCACUCCGCCUGGGGAGUACGGUCGCAAGACUGAAACUCAAAUGAAUUGACGGGG
rnacentral:rRNA from 1 species